CUGGCUCAGGAUGAACGCUAGCUACAGGCUUAACACAUGCAAGUCGAGGGGCAGCAUGGAGUAGCAAUACUCAGAUGGCGACCGGCGCACGGGUGAGUAACACGUAUCCAACCUGCCGCUUACUCGGGGAUAGCCUUUCGAAAGAAAGAUUAAUACCCGAUGGUAUAAAGAGUUCGCAUGUUCUCUUUAUUAAAGAAUUUCGGUAAGCGAUGGGGAUGCGUUCCAUUAGAUAGUUGGCGGGGUAACGGCCCACCAAGUCUACGAUGGAUAGGGGUUCUGAGAGGAAGGUCCCCCACAUUAGAACUGAGACACGGUCCAAACUCCUACGGGAGGCAGCAGUGAGGAAUAUUGGUCAAUGGACGAGAGUCUGAACCAGCCGAGUAACGCGUGAAGGAUGACUGCCCUAUGGGUUGUAAACUUCUUUUAUAAGGGAAUAAAGUGAGGGACGUGUCCCUUUUUGUAUGUACCCUAUGAAUAAGGAUCGGCUAACUCCGUGCCAGCCGCCGC
rnacentral:rRNA from 1 species